CAUGAAUAAAGUUCUUUAUUUUCCAAUUAAUAUAUUUCGAAAUAAGUUUGAAAAAAAAAAUAACAAAUAAUUAUAAAUACUUGAGAACAUUAUAAAUAAGAAUAUGUGGUAUAAGUGCCAUUGAGAGAACUUUGCAUCCAAGUCUCAGCGAAUUUAAGCUAACAAUUAUAGGUCCAAGUACGACCUUCCACACGGAGCCUUCUUUUGAUUAGCUGACCCAAAACAGCAACAUAUAAAGGGUCCCAAAAUGACCAGUGUACACAUUUUCAAACAGUAAAACCAACGGUCUAAUCUAUUUACAAAACAACGGGAAACAAACCAGAUGCUCCGUAGGGCGCAGCUUUAUACGACCGCAGAGAUCGAACCCUGAACAGUUGGGCAAGUAUGGACACAGCUCUGAAUUUGUAUGGAUUGUGGUUAAAUAGUUGACACAAAAUAGGUUUCUGACACAGAAUGGAUGUGGUCUAAAAACUUAAAAAAAAUAAAUUGGACAUUUUCUUAUUAUGGUCCAAUAUCCAAAAUCUAAAUACAUGGUUAGAUUCAGCAAAUCAAAUAACCCCAAGAAUUCGUUUAUGAUGAAAUUAAAUAAAGUUCAAUUUUGGACCCUUUAGAACUCAAUGUUGACCAAUUUGACACGGGCCCAAACACCAAAAACAUUAAUACAUGGUUAAAUUCAGCAUAUCAAAGAAC
rnacentral:lncRNA from 1 species